AGUGUGAUUGCUAGAUUAUAUAGUAAGGGUAUGUUUAAUUUUGUAGGAAACUGCCAAAUUGUCUUCCAAAGUGGCUGUACCAUUUUGCAUUUCUACCAGCAAU
rnacentral:pre_miRNA from 1 species